rnacentral:rRNA from 1 species
CCCUUAGACGUUCUGGGCCGCACGCGCGCUACACUGACCAGUGCAACAAGCAUCCGUCCUUGGCCGACAGGCCCGGGCAAUCUUUGAACGCUGGUCGUGAUGGGGAUAGACUUUUGCAAUUAUUAAUCUUGAACGAGGAAUUCCUAGUAAACGCAGAUCAUCAAUCUGCAUUGAUUACGUCCCUGCCCUUUGUACACACCGCCCGUCGCACCUACCGAUUGGAUGGUCCGGUGAAGCCUCGGGAUUGUGGUUCUUGCCGCUUUAUUGUGGCGUGACCGCGAGAACUUGUCUAAACCUUAUCAUCUAGAGGAAGGUGAAGUCGUAACA